rnacentral:lncRNA from 1 species
GUUGUCGGGGGCGCUGGGGUGAUUAGCAUCAUGCAGGGCAUGUGAUUCUGACACCCUCUUCUGUGGUGGGGGUGAGAAGGCACCGGUGCCACUAGUCCCUGACCUGUCCCUCAGACAAGUUACAAAUGAAGACUGAGGGGGUGGAGUAGCUAUGGAAACCAGGAGGGAAGGAUUUUUUUUUUUAAUGCAAAUGAAUUAGAACAAAAUGACUGGCAUCCCUUUUUCUUUUUCCAUCUGUGACAAAAGUUCUGUGUCCUGGUUUCUACCUUCACUUGGAGUAAAUUAUGGGGGAAAGAACAUCAUGAAGACCUGCUAUUGUCAGAGUGUCAUUUCCUCUUUCUAUCUUUCUGUGGAUUAAUUUUAAAUCCAUUUGAUAGAAUUAAUCAUAUAAGCCAGUCUCAUUUCCCUGCAAAUGUCUGCCUUCGUGCAGGUGAUUCUGUAGAAAGGAGUUUCUCCAAUAAAGCAGAGCUUCUCUUUCAACUCCAUGGACAUCAGAGAGAGUCCCUUUCAAAAAAGGAGGCUCAGGUCUGGAGAGACAAAGGCCUCUACUUUCGAAAAGGCCUCUUGGAUCAAGCCCAGACCCUCAUCAGAGCUGACAACAUGUCCAGCCUGCACUACUGCAAGAACUUCUUUGUCUAUGGUAGUGUGGUCAACUGAAGAAGCCGGCUUAGUUGCUCCAGUCAGGUGCUCACACUAAGAAAGGAUGGGUGAAGGUUAUAAAGUGGCUGUGAAUGAGAACUCGGUCUGGGCUCUACCAAGCAGAGAAGCCAUGCAGAGAUGAGAAAGGUGAAAGCCAUGAAACCAUGUUAAGCAGAAAAAUAAAAAUUCAAAACAGAAUGGGUGUAGCAUU